rnacentral:tRNA from 1 species
AGUUAAUUACUUAUUGAAGUUUUAUGAUUUGAAAUCAUAAGAAAAAGGUUAAAUUCCUUUAUUAACUU